rnacentral:rRNA from 2 species
GGAGCUUUAAACCUGACAGCACCCGCUCAUUCUAUACCCCAUUAUUUGCCCGACCCCUGUCUGCUCAGUUUUAGGUUGGGGUGACCACGGAGUAUAAAAUAACCUCCAUGAAGAAGGGGAUAUUUCCCUUAUUAGAGAACCACACUUCCAAGAACUAAUAAAUUAAUUUUNAAUGACCCGAUACCCGAUAAUCGAUCAACGAACCAAGUUACCCUGGGGAUAACAGCGCAAUCCACCCUGAAAGCCCUUAUUAACAGGUGGGUUUAC